rnacentral:antisense_RNA from 1 species
AGAGCUCCAGCUCCGGAGCGCGCCAAGUUGAAGGCCAAAGUCGAGGUUGGGAUGCCCGAUGCCUGGCGCGGGGAGACGGAGGAAGCAAAGUGCUGCUGCCUGGUGGAAAUACAGUAUUAUAUAAUGACAUGCUAUUAUGCAUCUCUACCUAACUCCUCGUCUGGUGAUGCCAUAUUGAAAUCAGCCUUACUGAGAGUAUUUACACACUGCUGAAGUCAGUAAAUGCUACAAAUCAAGGCUUGAAUGUAACCUACAUGAGAAAGAGUUGCCUUGCUCACUGCCGUAUCCCAGUAUCCCAAGCACCUUGGAGAUGCUCUAUGAAUACUGAAUGAAUCUGAGAGGAAACUAGCCCGAAGGGGGAAGGCUCUGGAAGCAAGCCCUCAUGGACCAAUGGAGAAAAAGGAAACUGAAUCUUGGGGAGAUUAAGCAACUCUUUCAAGGUCCACUGGGGAGCAGCAGAACCAGAGUUCGAAGGAAACCUUUCUGAAUCUGACGUCUGCCCCUUCUAAAUUAGGACUCUUAUCUAUCAGCCUGUGAGAAAAAAUACAGAAAGCAUCAUUCAGGCAACACAUGAACUGAAGACACUGA